ensembl:lncRNA
AUGAUAAAAAUACCUCUUCAGUCUCUACUACCACUUCCACUGUUAACUCUACUGAGAAAUUUUCAGGGUAAGAGUAUGGUUCCUGCUACAUGCUGUGAGGAGGUGCAUCUGAUCUAUAAGGAGAGGAGUUUCUUGGGAGCUUGGCUGUUCUUCCUCUUCCCUUGUGAUCUCUGCACACCUGAGGUAAUUGAGAGAGCAUCUGCAGAUGGAAGUAUGCCCUUCCUUAAGGGCUGCAGAGGAAGGUCAGACAUUUUCUGAAGGUGUAUGCAGUCAAUUCCCAAAAUACACCACCACUGCUGAAAUCAAUGACAAAGUAAGCCUUGAUUUGGGAACUGAUAGUAUUUUUACACUUAUAAAUGUAACUCAUCUACUCUGUGAUGCAAAAUACACAGCUAAUAGUGAACGUGAAUCGCACAAUUAAAGAAUCACAGAAAUUAUAACUAUUGCUUACUUCUUUUUAACAAAAUUUUGGUUUGCAUGCUAACAUUCUGUAUUCUCUAAAAAUGUUAGAGAUUCUAUAAUAUGACAGCGUGACUAAUAAUUUUAAUCCUGCAAAUACUAAUAUUUUUCAGAUUUGCAUCUGUGAAUUAAAUCUUAUAUAAGUCCUUUCCGAAGAAAUUAAUACAAAGAUUCUGUGGCUAAACAUACUUAAGCGCUACAUAGCCAAGAAUCAGAAAAAUUUUCUCAAAAUGAACUGUAAUCUCUAAAUGUCAUUUUUUUUGCAAUAGUUUGUCCAAAUAAUAGCAGUUUUAAAGAAGAGUAUUUUCUGCUGGUAGAAAAUAUGGAUGCAAAGAACUACUAAAUGACAGAUAAUGGCAAUACAUGUGGUUUUAAUGAUCUCUGAUAUAUGCUUACUAAGGGCAGAGAGAAUUGAAAGGAUUAGCUGGUAUCUGAAGGUGUAGCCUGGAGCAGGACAUGAAUUAUGUUCCCUACUGUCCAGCUCCUCAUAAUGAUGACCAUGUCUACUGUGGGAGAGAUUUUGGGGUGCAGAACCUUCAUAGACAGAUGUGAAAGCAGACACUAAUGGAACUCCAAAGACAAGGGUGAUGAUCUUAGAAUCCACCUCUUGAAAACAGCUGUGUUUAUGCUUACCAGCUGUGCUUAAAUUUAAAGAGAGUAUUUAUCACUCCUGUUACGAUUACUUACUGGUUUCAUUGUAAGGCAAUUAAAUAUUUGCUGGUUUAUGAAGUUUUGCUGUGUACUAUCUUUAACUAUUUGGAUUGCUGGCAACUGGAAAAAAACCUAGAGCUAUUUUAAUGCCAUAAAAAAAGAGUUUGAUUUUUGGAAGAAACUAAUACUAAUUGAGAGAUUCUUUCUGACUUUAACUAAAAGGCACUGUUUAAAAUUCAGAGGAAAGGUCAUUAAUAAGAAACAAAGGGCAGAGAAUGGAGACAAUUUCUGAUUUAUCACAAAGUUUAGACCAUUUUUGGUUUUUCCAGCUAAUCUACCAUGAAAUAACAAUUACAAGUAUUUAAAAUGCCACAAACUACAGAUGAUAUUAUGUAAGCAAAUACCACCUUCUAUAUCCAUUUUUCAAAAAAACUGAAGUUUAGCUUAUGAAAUAUAGUUUGAAUUUUUGUUUCCAAACAAAUAAAAGGUUAGAUUUUGAACA